AUAAGGGAAGUCUUUGGCAGUUGCAUCAAGCUCAGAUUGCACUCAAUUAGGAAGAACUAGUAGCAUGAGGCUGAAGUUAGAGAGUGCACGUGUUGAUCAUCGUCAGGCAAAGUCCUUUUCAGUUCCUCUUGGGAAACCCAAGAAGAAGCCCCGGAUUAGGGUGCCUGAAGCCAUUAAAAAACCAGUAUUGCCUCAAGAUUUUGUUGAAAAACAGAAAGCCUACUUUGCGGAGAUCGAUGCUUUUGAACUUCCAGAGGAGGUUGUAUCAGAGAGUGAAUUGGAAUAGCAGGAUAAACAUUGAGGGACUUGUAGAUUACUAACAGUAAACCCUCCUGUUACUAGGUCCAGUUAGCAUGUAAAUUUGGUGUAUAUACAGACUUCUUGCUGACACCCUUUUGUAAUUACAAUGCAACUAUUGACACGCAUGGAAAUAAAAUGACUUUCGUGGCAGCAUUUGUCAUCUUGCCUGCAAGCCCACCUGUUCAGAGUGGCAGGAGUAUGCAAAAUUCAAUGCUUUGGUUUCACCAGUUCUUAUGCAACGAUUGAUGACUUCUGCCAGAAAACCGAUGAAGCUCAUGACUUCAGUUCAUCGUUCUGUCUAUCGUGGCCAAUGAAGUUAAAUGUCACCAGCAUCAUUGCAUUUUGGAAGAUUGUCCAGCUUCAAAGGUAGAUGAUCAUGUGCAUUGUGAU